CUACCCAGAGUUGCAGUUCUAUACGGGAUUCUGAAAGCUGCUGUCUAAGGAUGGACACAGAGCAGAGUGGGAAAAUGGAAAUGGAUCACACCAGCGUAAACAACGGAACAGAAGCUAAAGCCGUUCACCCCAGGACUUACGUUAGCUCCUACAACAGGGACCCCUGGUUUUAAGUCAUCAUUCUACAAUUUUUAACAUGGGAAAUCUGAAUGUUUCUUCCUGGCAUGUGUGUCAGGUCCGACAGAUGGUCUGUUGAUGUAGGUUCAUGUUGACCAGGACCUCAUGUGUUUGGACCCACUGGGUUCACCGGAGAGUUUCUCACAGAAUCCUGGCC
rnacentral:lncRNA from 1 species